rnacentral:rRNA from 1 species
AGUCUCAGGGUUAUUUAUCUAAGAUUAAACCUGCCCAAUGUGUCUAAUGAAUGGCCGCGGUACCCUGACCGUGCUAAGGUAGCGCAAUAAAUUGGCCUUUAAAUGAGGCCAUGUAUGAAUGGAACCACGGAAUUUAGCUGUCUCUUGAAUUAAUUUAUCGAAAUUACUGUGUAGGUGAAAAAGCCUAUGUUUAAGAAAAAAGACGAGAAGACCCUUAGAGCUUUACUAAAAUUGAAUUCUUUUUUAAGUCAGUUUUGUUGGGGCAACAUAGGAACAUUUAAAUUUCCUUAGAUUUAAUUUACCGAUUUUUAUAAAUUUGAAUAAGCUACCUUAGGGAUAACAGCAAAAUUUUAUAAAUUAGUUUGUGACCUCGAUGUUGGACUAGGAAACUAAUAGGCUAGCCGCUUAUUAGGAGGAGUUCUGUUCGAACUAUAAUUUCCU